GCCUGUCCUGGAAGCCGGAGGGGGAACAGAAGGUCUCCUUCUGUUCCUUCUCCAGCUCGCUGAAGGGCGCUGCGCCUUUCCUCUCUGCGCAGUGCCUCUCCUGUGAAGUAGUGGCGCUGCGCAGAGAGAGAGAAGGCGUAGCGCCCCUUGAGCGACGCGCCUGUCUUGCGAAGGCGGAGGAGGAACAGAAGGGACUCCUUCUGUUCCUCCUCCCGCUUCGCAGCGACGCGCC